rnacentral:rRNA from 1 species
UGGGGAAUAUUGGACAAUGGGCGAAAGCCUGAUCCAGCCAUGCCGCGUGUGUGAAGAAGGUCUUCGGAUUGUAAAGCACUUUAAGUUGGGAGGAAGGGCAGUAAGCGAAUACCUUGCUGUUUUGACGUUACCGACAGAAUAAGCACCGGCUAACUCUGUGCCAGCAGCCGCGGUAAUACAGAGGGUGCAAGCGUUAAUCGGAAUUACUGGGCGUAAAGCGCGCGUAGGUGGUUCGUUAAGUUGAAUGUGAAAGCCCCGGGCUCAACCUGGGAACGGCAUCCAAUACUGGCGAGCUAGAGUAGGGCAGAGUGUGGUGGAAUUUCCUGUGUAGCGGUGAAAUGCGUAGAUAUAGGAAGGAACACCGGUGGCGAAGGCGACCACCUGGGCUCAUACUGACACUGUGGUGCGAUAGCGUGGGGAGCAAACAGG